rnacentral:rRNA from 1 species
CAGCAGCCACGGUAAUACGUAGGUGGCAAGCGUUGUCCGGAAUUAUUGGGCGUAAAGGGCUCGCAGGCGGUUUCUUAAGUCUGAUGUGAAAGCCCCCGGCUCAACCGGGGAGGGUCAUUGGAAACUGGGAAGCUUGAGUGCAGAAGAGGAGAGUGGAAUUCCACGUGUAGCGGUGAAAUGCGUAGAGAUGUGGAGGAACACCAGUGGCGAAGGCGACUCUCUGGUCUGUAACUGACGCUGAGGAGCGAAAGCGUGGGGAGCGAACAGGAUUAGAUACCCGCGUAGUCCCUGUCUCUUAUAC